rnacentral:rRNA from 1 species
AUUGAACGCUGGCGGCAGGCCUAACACAUGCAAGUCGAGCGGUAACAGGGGAAGCUUGCUUCCCGCUGACGAGCGGCGGACGGGUGAGUAAUGUAUGGGGAUCUGCCCGAUAGAGGGGAAUAACUACUGGAAACGGUAGCUAAUACCGCAUAAUCUCUCAGGAGCAAAGCAGGGGAACUUCGGUCCUUGCGCUAUCGGAUGAACCCAUAUGGGAUUAG